AAGCAGCGGAACAGAUGGUUUGUGGGAUGGCCCAGGUGCAAGUAGAAGAACUACUCACUCAACUACUCACACGACAGUGCCCCGCUCUCUGGCAUAUUCAUGGCUGCCUGGGGAAACCAUCCACCGGCCGCGGAACUGGGACUGGCUGAUCCUAGCCUUAUCGGGUGGUUGCACUGAGGGAAGUUCAUGAAUGUAUCCCCAAACAGUGAACGCAGUUUCGCUAACUAGGAGAAGUAUGCACUGGUUAUGUUGACAAGGAACCAAAUAUUGGCAAACAUAUGUUCUCCUCUGUGAUUCUGACUCUUAGAUACUAAUAGUCCUAGAAUAAUGUUAAUUGAACAGUGUCUAUUGAAAGAAGCAAAUACUUCAUAGACUCUUUUCGAAGGUACUAUCGGAAACGGAUAACACACUAUACAAGAUAACAAAUUAUCCAACUGUUUACCUGGAUGAUCAGUUAUUGCCGAAGUCUGAGUGCGCGAGUGUUGGGACCAGCUAAACAUGCACAGACCGUGAGUUAUUUCAGCUGACUGACGACAUGGAGUAUAAUUUGCGACUGUCGCCUCGUCCACGGUUCCCGGUACCAUGAGGAACACCGUUUUUCACGGAAUGUCCACUGUCAGCGUCACAUAAGGUAA